rnacentral:lncRNA from 1 species
CAAAAUCUCCCGCCAUGAACUGAAUGAUUCGUAAUUCACACGGCUGCAUAUCUCAAAAUUCCUUAUUUUGAAUGAUUUGUAGUGAAUAUGAUGCAUCCCCUAUUUGUUGAACAGAAAUCAUCUGAUUCUGUGAUGGCAUUCAGCAUGAAUCCGUAUGAAAAUAAGUUGAUAUUUGAAUUAUGGCAACACGAAUGAAUAAUGUGCUUAUUAUAAAGGAUAAUUAUUUCCACCAUGUCCUGAAUCAAAAAUCAUUCAAUUAUCUUCUGAAUGUCAUAUUUAAGACUAAUGAUGCUAGACAUAAAAUCAUCCUUGUCAAUUGUAGUAAAAUAAUGCCGGUUGCAACAGUUCCCGCGUGCAGAGUUCGGAGUUUUUCGAGUUAAUUUAACAGGAGCACCAAACAUCAUUUGUAGCUGAAGAUGAAGGAUUGUUUGCAGGAUCAAGGACUCGUUAUUCAAAUGGGCACCUCACGCCAAGUCACGAUGGUCGUCGAUUUAAGAUUGAUAAUUAUUAUACUAUUAAUGCAGCUAAACAGUUCGUGGAAAUAAAUAUUUAUGUGCG